rnacentral:rRNA from 1 species
UACGGGGGGGGCAAGCGGUUGUUCGGAAUUACUGGGCGUAAAGGGCUCGUAGGUGGCCAACUAAGUCAGACGUGAAAUCCCCCGGCUUAACCGGGGAACUGCGUCUGAUACUGGAUGGCUUGAGUUCGGGAGAGGGAUGCGGAAUUCCAGGUGUAGCGGUGAAAUGCGUAGAUAUCUGGAGGAACACCGGUGGCGAAGGCGGCAUCCUGGACCGACACUGACGCUGAGGAGCGAAAGCCAGGGGAGCGAACGGG